rnacentral:rRNA from 1 species
GCAGGCUUAAUACAUGCAAGUCGUGGGGCAGCAUGAGUAGCAAUACUUGAUGGCGACCGGCAAACGGGUGCGGAACACGUACACAACCUUCCGAUAAGUGGGGAAUAGCCCAGAGAAAUUUGGAUUAAUACCCCGUAACAUAUAGAGUAGGCAUCUUCUUUAUAUUAUAGCUUCGGCGCUUAUUGAUGGGUGUGCGUCUGAUUAGGUAGUUGGCGGGGUAACGGCCCACCAAGCCUACGAUCAGUAGCUGAUGUGAGAGCAUGAUCAGCCACACGGGCACUGAGACACGGGCCCGACUCCUACGGGAGGCAGCAGUAAGGAAUAUUGGACAAUGGGCGAAAGCCUGAUCCAGCCAUGCCGCGUGAAGGAUUAAGGUCCUCUGGAUUGUAAACUUCUUUUAUUUGGGACGAAAAAAGGGAAUUCUUUCCCACUUGACGGUACCAAGUGAAUAAGCACCGGCUAACUCCGGGCCAGCAGCCGCGGUAAUACGGAGGGUGCAAGCGUUAUCCGGAUUCACUGGGUUUAAAGGGUGCGUAGGCGGGUAUGUAAGUCAGUGGUGAAAUCUCGGAGCUUAACUCCGAAACUGCCAUUGAUACUAUAUAUCUUGAAUAUUGUGGAGGUUUGCGGAAUAUGUCAUGUAGCGGUGAAAUGCUUAGAUAUGACAUAGAACACCUAUUGCGAAGGCAGCAGGCUACACAUAUAUUGACGCUGAGGCACGAAAGCGUGGGGAUCAAACAGGAUUAGAUACCCUGGUAGUCCACGCCCUAAACGAUGGAUACUCGACAUACGCGAUACACUGUGUGUGUCUGAGCGAAAGCAUUAAGUAUCCCACCUGGGAAGUACGACCGCAAGGUUG